GCCCGGCAUGGUGAUCGCUGGCCCAGGCGGUUCCCUGUCCUGGCCUGACCCUGCAGCACAGUGGUUCAGGUGACGCUGGGGUCCCAGGAGAGGAGUGGGGAAACAAUCCUGGGGGAGAAGAGCAGACUAGGGAGGAAUUUCCCAGAUUCCAAGCAGGAGACGUCCGCCGGGGUCACCUUGACCUGUGACCUCUGACGGGACCCAGACCCAGAGCUGCGCGUCUCAUACGCUGUGGACAAAGCCCAUGUGAUGACUUCACCACUGUCCCCUGCUCCGAGGGCCUUAUAUAACGGGACACGCCGCCAUCUCCGGGGACUCUGCAGUCGAGCCAGAUUCCUCAAGUGCUCUGGUCACUCUGCGUCCGUUCCACGUUUUAGGAGACUCCGACUAUUUUUGGUAGUGGCUUCUAUGGUGCGAAUCUGCCAUUCAUACAGUCAACAAAUACUGAGCACUGCUAGGCGCCCCACCCAAUUCCAGGCUGCUUUCAGUGACUGGAGGACUCCAAGCCCUGGAGCAGGGCUGACAUAAG
rnacentral:lncRNA from 1 species